CCUACGGGAGGCAGCAGUGGGGAAUAUUGGACAAUGGGGGGAACCCUGAUCCAGCCAUGCCGCGUGUGUGAAGAAGGCCCUCGGGUUGUAAAGCACUUUCAGUGAGGAAGAACGCCUGGUGGUUAAUACCCAUCAGGAAAGACAUCACUCACAGAAGAAGCACCGGCUAACUCCGUGCCAGCAGCCGCGGUAAUACGGAGGGUGCGAGCGUUAAUCGGAAUUACUGGGCGUAAAGCGCGCGUAGGUGGCUUGAUAAGCCGGUUGUGAAAGCCCCGGGCUCAACCUGGGAACGGCAUCCGGAACUGUCAAGCUAGAGUGCAGGAGAGGAAGGUAGAAUUCCCGGUGUAGCGGUGAAAUGCGUAGAGAGCGGGAGGAAUACCAGUGGCGAAGGCGGCCUUCUGGACUGACACUGACACUGAGGUGCGAAAGCGUGGGUAGCAAACAGGAUUAGAUACCCCAGUAGUC
rnacentral:rRNA from 1 species